GCAUGGGUUAACCCACAUGGGGCCAACGUGGGUUUAGUGUGGGUUUGCUCUGCCUACACUGUCCCACAGAAAACCCGCAGUGGGCCCGCGCGGGCAUGUUUGCUGUGGCGUCAGUUCCUGACAUAUUAAAACAGGAACAGAUGACAACAGCCUCUUCUCUUUGUGUUAUCUUUAACUCGUUAAGACUCUGUCGGUCCUCACAUGUGAUAUUUUAGUAAUAUUUAACUGGUCGUGUUGUUCUCCAGCAGAUGGCUCUCUUACUCUCUCUUAAACUCUUACACAACAGCGCAUCUUUUGUAACGUAAACAAGCUAGAAGACACCGCCUCUCAACUUUUCUGAGAAAAUUAAGUUAUUAAAAGUAUUGAUUAUAAUUCAGACGAAAGGAAGGACAGUUUAAUCUCCACGCAGAAAUAUAUAUAUAUAUAUAUUAAGUUUAACUAACACACAUUGUAACAGCGACUCUAAGUUAGCUAACUUUGCUAAUUUUACGUGGCAGUCGCAAUAUCAAGCAAUACAAAAAUCACAUUAGCUGAUAGUUUGACUUCUUAGACUAAAACAUGUCUCUUUUGAGAGAUCACAGGAUCGUGCGUAUUUUGCUCAUUGUUCUUUCUCAGUUUGCUUUCAUUGUUACUUUGAUCAUCAACGCGCUCGCGGGAUCAGGAAAAGGUCCGUUUCAACGGAGCACUGGAAAUAUAUCAGACAGAUAUAAGACAGAGAUCACUCCUGCUGGAUGGACUUUUUCGAUAUGGGGUGUCAUCUAUUCCUGGCUCUUCCUGAUGAACGCAUAUAUCCUGACCUGGCUCUGUAGAGGGUUGUACUCAAGUCCAGCAAUCCUGCCCUCUGAAUUCUUUCUCUCGUGGAUCAUCAACAUGAUCCUCAACAGCACCUGGCUGGUCUUGUGGGACAGAGAAUUGAUGAUUCCUGCACUGAUUGUUCUUGCCCUGAUUGCUUUCACCAACUACCUGAUGAUCUUCUUCUCUUGUAUUGGUCUACGAGCUCAUGGAUCUUGGCUUAAACUGCAGCAUCCAAAAGACCUUUUCUGCAUCAUAGUGUUGGUUCAAAAUGGCAUUGCUACCUAUGCAACAUGGACAACCAUUGCCACACUGCUCAACUUCACUGUUGUGUUGGAUCUAGCAUCAGUUUCCCCAACAAAUGCUGCUACAGCUUCUUUAUGCAUACUUUUGUUGGAAGUAAUUAUAUGGUUUACAGUUGAAAACUUUCUUAUAGAGAAGCAUGUCCGUUACAUCCUCACCGUUUACCCUGUGAUUAUCUAUGCUCUAAUUGGAAGCCUAAGCAAGCAUUACGAUGCAGCAGCACCUGGCCGGAACGCUGCCUUUUCAGUGGUGCUCCUCGUGUUGGCCUGUAUUGUGUUAUUGGUGCGUGUGGGGCUGGUGGUUUGGAGACACAGGACUCGGCCGCUCUACCAUGAAGUCAGUCCUGAGGUCCUGAUGUCACCAAACAGUGGCACCGAUAUAUAACCUUAAAUCAUAAACACUCAUCACUCAUAACAACUUCAAAGAUGAUGUGCCCUGAACGCUAACCCUUCCAGGUGUGCAGUACUUGCAUGAAUGUGUUUCAGCUGGAACAGAUGCUUUCAGAGUCCUCAGUUUUAUGGAAAAUAUGCAGGAAACAGCAUACAAUAUACAAUAUUAAAUUACUAGUGUGCCUACACUACCAUUUUUUCUCAAAAAGUGUGCAUUUAUAUAAUCAAAAGAACAGUAAAAAGCAAUAAUAUUGUGAAACACUAUUACACUUUCAAAUAACAGCUUUCUAUUUUAACAUAUUUUAUAAUGUGAUUGUGUUUAUAUGCAUAUGUUUAUAGUAACUUGUGACCAAAAUAUCAAUAUUAUACUUGACAACAUUAUCAUUUGCUUUCAUUUAUAUAUUUGUUUUAACAUUUAAUAUUUUAGUAUAAGCUUUAAUCCAAAGCAAAUUACUAAAUAAAGAAGCAAUUUCUUAACAGUAUCACAAGCAAUAUAUCAUACAUGAGCCAACAAUACUUGUAAUACGAUGUUUCAAUAGUAAGUACAUACAAAAAAGUUGGGAUUUUGUAUUCUGUGAUUUAAGCUUUUAAAGCUCAUUUAUGAAUGUUCAAUAAAAUACAUGAAAUGCAUCUGAUGUCAUUGUUAAAGGUUCGUGAGAAACAGCUCUUAGUUUAGUGCACGUGCUCUGGAAACCACCUUGGUGUUGAUCGUAAGCUUCUAAAACCACUGGUCUUUCAACAGUGAUUACAGAAAUAUUCAGGGAUGCCACACAACAUUUGUGUCUGCUGAAUAUACAUGCUUUGAUCAUGGCUCUUCUUGUGCAUUUACUUCGGUGUGGAUGUGAACUGAAGCAUCUUGUCAUGCAUGUUGUUGCCCUUUGGUCAUUGUAACGGCAAAUUAACCGUGGCUUUGUUACUUCAAAUAAUAAUUUAUAAUGAAGUAUUUAAGAUAAUGUUUUUUUGUGGUUAUAAAAUAAAACCUAAGUCAACAACUGCUUUUAAAAUGACUUAAAGUGCAUUAUAUAAAACAAUGAGGCAACCCUGCUGAAAAAAACAAUAUAACCAUAUAGAUCACAAAUACCAUUACAAACAUUACACACCUUCAACUUUUAACCAUUAAAUGCAUAACACAUUUUGUGAUGGUGUCUAUUGUUUUUUGUGUAUGUAUGUAAUUAAAAAUGCUCACAAAGGGAGCUAAAGGCCUGG